CUAAGGCUGAUGGCGACCGGCGCACGGGUGAGUAACACGUAUCCAACCUGCCGUCUACUCUUGGCCAGCCUUCUGAAAGGAAGAUUAAUCCAGGAUGGCAUCAUGAGUUCACAUGUCCGCAUGAUUAAAGGUAUUUUCCGGUAGACGAUGGGGAUGCGUUCCAUUAGAUAGUAGGCGGGGUAACGGCCCACCUAGUCAACGAUGGAUAGGGGUUCUGAGAGGAAGGUCCCCCACAUUGGAACUGAGACACGGUCCAAACUCCUACGGGAGGCAGCAGUGAGGAAUAUUGGUCAAUGGGCGAUGGCCUGAACCAGCCAAGUAGCGUGAAGGAUGACUGCCCUAUGGGUUGUAAACUUCUUUUAUAAAGGAAUAAAGUCGGGUAUGCAUACCCGUUUGCAUGUACUUUAUGAAUAAGGAUCGGCUAACUCCGUGCCAGCAGCCGCGGUAAUACGGAGGAUCCGAGCGUUAUCCGGAUUUAUUGGGUUUAAAGGGAGCGUAGAUGGAUGUUUAAGUCAGUUGUGAAAGUUUGCGGCUCAACCGUAAAAUUGCAGUUGAUACUGGAUGUCUUGAGUGCAGUUGAGGCAGGCGGAAUUCGUGGUGUAGCGGUGAAAUGCUUAGAUAUCACGAAGAACUCCGAUUGCGAAGGCAGCCUGCUAAGCUGCAACUGACAUUGAGGCUCGAAAGUGUGGGUAUCAA
rnacentral:rRNA from 1 species